rnacentral:rRNA from 1 species
UACGAAGGGGGCUAGCGUUGUUCGGAAUUACUGGGCGUAAAGCGUGCGCAGGCGGUUCUCCAAGUCAGUGGUGAAAGCCCGGAGCUCAACUCCGGAACUGCCAUUGAAACUGUAGAGCUAGAGUACGAGAGAGGUGAGUGGAAUUCCCAGUGUAGAGGUGAAAUUCGUAGAUAUUGGGAAGAACACCGGUGGCGAAGGCGGCUCACUGGCUCGUAACUGACGCUCAUGCACGACAGCGUGGGGAGCGAACAGG